rnacentral:rRNA from 1 species
AUAGGGGAGCCGUAGGGAAACCGAGUCUUAACUGGGCGAAUGAGUUGCAGGGUAUAGACCCGAAACCCGGUGAUCUAUCCAUGGGCAGGUUGAAGGUUGGGUAACACUAACUGGAGGACCGAACCGACUAAUGUUGAAAAAUUAGCGGAUGACUUGUGGAUGGGGGUGAAAGGCCAAUCAAACCGGGAGAUAGCUGGUUCUCCCCGAAAGCUAUUUAGGUAGCGCCUCGUGAACUCAUCUUCGGGGGUAGAGCACUGUUUCGACUAGGGGGUCAUCCCGACUUACCAACUCGAUGCAAACUGCGAAUACCGAAGAAUGUUAUCACGGGAGACACACGGCGGGUGCUAACGUCCGUCGUGAAGAGGGAAACAACCCAGACCGCCAGCUAAGGUCCCAAAGUCAUGGUUAAGUGGGAAACGAAGUGGGAAGGCUCAGACAGCCAGGAUGUUGGCUUAGAAGCAGCCAUCAUUUAAAGAAAGCGUAAUAGCUCACUGGUCGAGUCGGCCCGCGCGGAAGAUGUAACGGGGCUAAACCAUGCACCGAAGCUGCGGCAGCGACACAUAGUGUUGUUGGGUAGGGGAGCGUUCUGUAAGCCUGCGAAGGUGUACUGUGAGGUAUGCUGGAGGUAUCAGAAGUGCGAAUGCUGACAUAAGUAACGAUAAUGCGGGUGAAAAACCCGCACGCCGGAAGACCAAGGGUUCCUGUCCAACGUUAAUCGGGGCAGGGUGAGUCGACCCCUAAGGCGAGGCUGAAAAGCGUAGUCGAUGGGAAACGGGUUAAUAUUCCCGUACUGGUGGUAACUGCGAUGGGGGAACGGAGAAGGCUAGGUUGUCCGGGCGACGGUCGUCCCGGUUCAAGCAGGUAGGCAGAGUGAUUAGGCAAAUCCGGUCACUUAAUGCUGAGAUGUGAUGACGAACCACCAAGGUGGUGAAGCAAUUGAUGCCCCGCUUCCAGGAAAAGCCUCUAAGCUUCAGGUUACCAACAAUCGUACCCCAAACCGACACAGGUGGUCAGGUAGAGAAUACUCAGGCGCUUGAGAGAACUCGGGUGAAGGAACUAGGCAAAAUGGUGCCGUAACUUCGGGAGAAGGCACGCUGGCGGUAGGUAAAGUCCCUCGCGGACGGCGCUGAAGCCAGUCGAAGAUACCAGCUGGCUGCAACUGUUUAUUAAAAACACAGCACUGUGCAAACACGAAAGUGGACGUAUACGGUGUGACGCCUGCCCGGUGCUGGAAGGUUAAUUGAUGGGGUCAGCCGUAAGGCGAAGCUCCUGAUCGAAGCCCCAGUAAACGGCGGCCGUAACUAUAACGGUCCUAAGGUAGCGAAAUUCCUUGUCGGGUAAGUUCCGACCUGCACGAAUGGCGUAAUGAUGGCCAGGCUGUCUCCACCCGAGACUCAGUGAAAUUGAACUCGCUGUGAAGAUGCAGUGUACCCGCGGCAAGACGGAAAGACCCCGUGAACCUUUACUAUAGCUUGACACUGAACAUUGAGCCUUGAUGUGUAGGAUAGGUGGGAGGCUUUGAAGUGUGGACGCCAGUCUGCAUGGAGCCAACCUUGAAAUACCACCCUUUAACGUUUGAUGUUCUAACCUAGGCCCAUAAACUGGGUCGGGGACCGUGUCUGGUGGGUAGUUUGACUGGGGCGGUCUCCUCCUAAAGAGUAACGGAGGAGCACGAAGGUUGGCUAAGCAUGGUCGGACAUCAUGCGGUUAGUGCAAAGGCAUAAGCCAGCUUGACUGCGAGAGUGACGGCUCGAGCAGGUACGAAAGUAGGUCUUAGUGAUCCGGUGGUUCUGAAUGGAAGGGCCAUCGCUCAACGGAUAAAAGGUACUCCGGGGAUAACAGGCUGAUACCGCCCAAGAGUUCAUAUCGACGGCGGUGUUUGGCACCUCGAUGUCGGCUCAUCACAUCCUGGGGCUGAAGUAGGUCCCAAGGGUAUGGCUGUUCGCCAUUUAAAGUGGUACGCGAGCUGGGUUUAGAACGUCGUGAGACAGUUCGGUCCCUAUCUGCCGUGGGCGUUGGAAGAUUGAGAGGGGUUGCUCCUAGUACGAGAGGACCGGAGUGAACGCACCACUGGUGUUCGGGUUGUCAUGCCAAUGGCAUUGCCCGGUAGCUAAGUGCGGAAGAGAUAACCGCUGAAAGCAUCUAAGCGGGAAACUUGCCUCGAGAUGAGUCUUCCCUGUCGCUUUAAG